GGCUUUUUGGUGGAAGUGUACAAGGUCGGGGGGGGGGGGUGCCGGGUACACCCCAAGGGCAAGUCAGCGGGUGUCUUUUUGUUUGUUUGUUUUUUGUUUUUCCUUCUUUAAGUCCAUCCCAGCCAGUCGAAGCCCCUUUGCGUCAAGCCCUUUGCGCUGCAAGCUUUCUCCGAUGUAAAGCGUGAAGAUUUCUUACAGCCGCUGCUGAUAAAGUCAUCGCUUCAAGCAAUCUGCCUAUAUAAAUUUUUACCCUCCUUACACUUGGGGAAUUUUUAAGAAGUCCUGCUAUGUCUCAGUGACACCCUUGAAGCUGCUGUUGCUGAUACGUGCUACUAAUUGUGCUCCUGAGCCUUCUCAAAAGAGAAAGGGAGAGGGAUAUCUGACUAUUGAAAUGGCUGGAUUGCGGAGUUCGCCACGGUGCCCUCCUACAACCGAGAGAGCAGCAGCAGCACCGGCCUGAAACCUUCAUCGCAUCCCUGCUGCCCUUCCUUUGUGUUGUUUACCAGUCCUUCAUCCUCUCACAAAAGCCCUCCAUAUGGCCAUGUGAUUGCCGCUGCUGCUGCUUCACGUGAUCCGGCUUUCCGGCACAAAGGCUCCGGGCUCAUACAGAUGAUUCUUAAACGUCAUGAGACUCUGAAAGGUAGAGUAGGCAAGAGGAGGAGGAGGAAGAAGCCAAGAAAAGAACCGCGUGGGAGUUGCACUGAAAAAUGGAUUUGGGCGAAAAAAAUUGAAGCGGUGAAGAAGCGACUGGAGAGGUAGGAAGAAAAUCAAUUGAGGAUCGUGUUCGCAAGAGCCGUGGAGGAGGAAGAGAGAACAAGAAGAUAAAAAUGGCUGGUGGCAUCAAAAGCAGUAUGGAAAGGAGAGUGAAGAACUGUCUGGGGGUUUGGGCAGGAAAGAACUGUUAGUAGCAUCAGAAAGAGCUGUUUCAGAGUGCCUAGCCUGCUUGGAAACCAGAUGGGUGAGGGGCUGGGAUACGGCCCGAGGGCCAAACAGGACCUCUGUGGUCAUCUCCUGUAAUUUCCUGCGGAUGAUCGAUCAUGGGCUGUCACACAGCUGUUCCUGAGCCAGACCUGCGCUCUGCGGGUCAGCUACGGUGCUCACGUUGGAAGGAGACCUGAUCCCUCUCUAACAGAUUUCAAGUGAGGAUAAAUCCAUCGCAUUGAUGGGUAAACUGGUUUAAUUAAUUGAGUACUCCCACUGUUAAUGUCGAAUUGUUCCUCUUCAGGCUGAAGUUACUGAGCUUGAGCACUAGUCUUUGGAUUGUAAAAUAACCUCGUCUGCUAUCCUGAACAAAUCCUACCCCAAAGAAUGUGGACAAAAGCUGGACAUAUUGCUACAGACAUAAUUUCUUUAAUACUUUGUAGAGAAAAUUUAAACCGCAGAACUGAAGAGCCUACUCAAUAAAGAAAGGGAGGAGGCAGGCCAAGGAAACUGGAGCAGUGAAGAGUGACAGAAAUGAAGGCAUAGCAGAGAGUAACAGUAGCUGAGCUUCUGUGUUUCCUCAUCAGGAAAAAAAAUGAUCUUUUCAAAUAAAAUAUAAAAUAGAUUAAAAAAAUAGAAUGAAUACAGAAGAUUACUGGGAAACAAAGAGAACAGCACAAGGCCUAAAGAUGAAAAAGGAAGACCAAUAGCUAUUGAUCAUAAUUGCCUAUUAGUCGGGGUUUUUUGACAGUUCUGAAAUUGUUAACUCUAUUAAAGAGAGUAUGGUGCU